rnacentral:rRNA from 1 species
CAGUAGCCGCGGUAAUACGGAGGGAGCUAGCGUUGUUCGGAAUUACUGGGCGUAAAGCGCGCGUAGGCGGCUUUGUAAGUCAGAGGUGAAAGCCUGGAGCUCAACUCCAGAACUGCCUUUGAGACUGCAUCGCUUGAAUCCGGGAGAGGUGAGUGGAAUUCCGAGUGUAGAGGUGAAAUUCGUAGAUAUUCGGAAGAACACCAGUGGCGAAGGCGGCUCACUGGACCGGUAUUGACGCUGAGGUGCGAAAGCGUGGGGAGCAAACAGGAUUAGAACCCCAGUAGUCCCUGUCUCUUAUACC